GAUGAACGCUGGCGGCGUGCUUAACACAUGCAAGUCGAACGAAGCACUUUAUUACAAUUUCUUCGGAAUGACGAUUUAGUGACUGAGUGGCGGACGGGUGAGUAACGCGUGGGUAACCUGCCUUAUACAGGGGGAUAACAGUUGGAAACGACUGCUAAUACCGCAUAAGCGCACGGUAUCGCAUGAUACAGUGUGAAAAACUCCGGUGGUAUAAGAUGGACCCGCGUCUGAUUAGCUGGUUGGUGAGGUAACGGCCCACCAAGGCGACGAUCAGUAGCCGACCUGAGAGGGUGACCGGCCACAUUGGGACUGAGACACGGCCCAAACUCCUACGGGAGGCAGCAGUGGGGAAUAUUGCACAAUGGGGGAAACCCUGAUGCAGCGACGCCGCGUGAGCGAAGAAGUAUUUCGGUAUGUAAAGCUCUAUCAGCAGGGAAGAAAAAAUGACGGUACCUGACUAAGAAGCCCCGGCUAACUACGUG
rnacentral:rRNA from 1 species